GUUUCUGUGGCACAAUCGGUUAACGUGUUUGUCUGUUAACCAAAAGAUUGGUGGUUCCAGCCCACCCAGGGACG
rnacentral:tRNA from 1 species